rnacentral:rRNA from 1 species
UUCGGCUUAGAGUUUGAUCUGGCUCAGGAUGAACGCUGGCGGCGUGCCUAAUACAUGCAAGUCGAACGAAACUUCUUUAUCACCGAGUGCUUGCACUCACCGAUGAAGAGUUGAGUGGCGAACGGGUGAGUAACACGUGGGCAACCUGCCCAAAAGAGGGGGAUAACACUUGGAAACAGGUGCUAAUACCGCAUAACCAUAGUUACCGCAUGGUAACUAUGUAAAAGGUGGCUAUGCUACCGCUUUUGGAUGGGCCCGCGGCACAUUAGCUAGUUGGUGAGGUAAAGGCUUACCAAGGCAAUGAUGCGUAGCCGAACUGAGAGGUUGAUCGGCCACAUUGGGACUGAGACACGGCCCAAACUCCUACGGGAGGCAGCAGUAGGGAAUCUUCCACAAUGGGCGAAAGCCUGAUGGAGCAACGCCGCGUGGGUGAAGAAGGUCUUCGGAUCGUAAAACCCUGUUGUUAGAGAAGAAAGUGCGUGAGAGUAACUGUUCACGUUUCGACGGUAUCUAACCAGAAAGCCACGGCUAACUACGUGCCAGCAGCCGCGGUAAUACGUAGGUGGCAAGCGUUAUCCGGAUUUAUUGGGCGUAGAGGGAACGCAGGCGGUCUUUUAAGUCUGAUGUGAAAGCCUUCGGCUUAACCGGAGUAGUGCAUUGGAAACUGGGAGACUUGAGUGCAGAAGAGGAGAGUGGAACUCCAUGUGUAGCGGUGAAAUGCGUAGAUAUAUGGAAGAACACCAGUGGCGAAAGCGGCUCUCUGGUCUGUAACUGACGCUGAGGUUCGAAAGCGUGGGGAGCAAACAGGA